CAUGGGAGUGAGAGAGACUGGGAGAGCUCCACAAGAGAGAGAGAGGGCCUAGUAAACAAAGUUGUGCUGGGACGGUAGGCAUCCACUGGGACCGUCCCAGACAGACAGGGCCCAUAGCCCUUGACCGACAGACAGGAUCUGAGCAGGUCAGGGGAUGACGUAAGCAAAGGUUUGGAGGUUGGACAAUCACGGUUUGUGCAGGUGACCUUGCACAGCGGGUGCAGGGUGACGAGGCAGACCUGGUCGUGGGUCCCACCUGCCCCGCUGGACAGGAAGAGGCACAUCUCCCCCAUCCCGGACUCCACUGCCCAGAGCACAUCCUUCCCUCCACUCCAAGUUCGUCUCCCACCCGUUCGGCAUCGUGGUUCAGGGGCACACCAGUCCAUUCUUCAUGGACCUGAAAAGACGUGAUCUUUGCCGCGACAGAGAGGAUUGAAACCCACCGUGGCGGCACGGUAGAUGGGCAGGAGCAGAAGGGGAGAAGUUAGCUACUAAGGCAUGGAGUGCGCCCUCGGUCCACACCGAAGGAACAAAGCUUUUGGGUGGUGGCGGCAGGAGGAAGCAUGCGGGAGGCAGGAGAAGGCAGACGCUGGUGUCCCUAGUCCCUAGCCUGCGUGGCUUCUGUGUGAAAACCUCAGCAGGAGCCCGUGAUGCCUUGAUAAGGACGCGUCUCCAGGCAACUGCUGUUCCACACCCACACGGCCCCUGUGCCUCCCAGCCUGGGAGUCCAGUUCCCAGAAGGAUCAGAGCAGCCUUCCCUUUGGAAGCGUGGGGUCUGAGAGAUGCUAUGGAGGACUUCUUUCCCCAGAGAGAGAAGGGAAGGCAGCUGGGACCUGGAGACCAGGCUCAGGGGGCGGGGAGGGGGGGGAGUGACAGGUCCCAGCAAGCUGGAAGCUGGGCCUAGACCCGUGUCCUGACUCCCUGCCCUGAAUGCUUAGUGGGGCCCUUGCUUUUUCCUGUCUCUAUUCCUAAAAUAGUUUUCUAAGUUUAAUGGAAUCUUGACCAGUCGAGUAGGAUCUUAGCUCAAGAAGGCUAGGCCGAUCACCCAUCUGUAAAUAUGUAUGUUUGGCAUUAAUGGGGCUCCCAUGACCCUCUGUGGAAUCUUGGUGCAAAUUAGAAGCAGCCAUAUAGACAGAUUCAGAAAACACACCCCUUCCCAUUGAACACAGUCCUGCUGUUCUACUCAGGCCUCAAGUUUCCCAAAGCUCUUAUAAUGCAGCCCUGGGUGGAGGUGAGCAGGCUUGGGCCUGAGUGGAGCCAAGGCUCCUCUUCUCAGUAUCCUGAGACCUCGCAGGUGCCCGGUGUGGGGGCCAGCAGAAACUGGUGACUCUGUGAUGCCAAGGAAGACUGGAGGCACGAUGCUGGAUCUUUCCACCACCUGAAUUCUUUUUUUUUUUUUUAAGAUUUUAUCUCUUUAUUUGACAGAGAUCA